AUUGAACGCUAACGGCGUGCUUAACACAUGCAAGUCGAGCGGCAGCAUGAUCUGUAGCAAUACAGAUUGAUGGCGAGCGGCGGACGGGUGAGUAAUGCAUAGGAAUCUGCCUUGUAGUGGGGGAUAACCCGGGGAAACUCGGGCUAAUACCGCAUAAUCUCUACGGAGCAAGGUGGGGGAUCGUAAGACCUCACGCUAAAAGAUGAGCCUAUGUAGGGUUAGCUAGUUGGUGGGGUAAUGGCUCACCAAGGCGACGAUCCAUAGCUGGUCUGAGAGGAUGAUCAGCCACACUGGGACUGAGACACGGCCCAGACUCCUACGGGAGGCAGCAGUGGGGAAUAUUGGACAAUGGGCGAAAGCCUGAUCCAGCAACGCCGUGUGUGUGAAGAAGGCCUUCGGGUUGUAGAGCACUUUUAGUUGGGAAGAAAAGCUCAUGGGUAAUAUCCAUGAGUGCUGACGUUACCAACAGAAAAAGCACUGGCUAACUCUGUGCCAGCCGCCGCCGUAA
rnacentral:rRNA from 1 species